rnacentral:rRNA from 1 species
UAGGGAAUCUUCCACAAUGGACGAAAGUCUGAUGGAGCAACGCCGCGUGAGUGAAGAAGGGUUUCGGCUCGUAAAGCUCUAUCAGCAGGGAAGAAAAUGACGGUACCUGACUAAGAAGCACCGGCUAAAUACGUGCCAGCAGCCGCGGUAAUACGUAUGGUGCAAGCGUUAUCCGGAUUUACUGGGUGUAAAGGGAGCGUAGACGGCUGUGUAAGUCUGAAGUGAAAGCCCGGGGCUCAACCCCGGGACUGCUUUGGAAACUAUGCAGCUAGAGUGUCGGAGAGGUAAGUGGAAUUCCCAGUGUAGCGGUGAAAUGCGUAGAUAUUGGGAGGAACACCAGUGGCGAAGGCGGCUUACUGGACGAUGACUGACGUUGAGGCUCGAAAGCGUGGGGAGCAAACAGGAUUAGAUACCCUGGUAGU